CCACAUGAGCUGGUCCAGUCUGGUGUCAGUCUUAUGGAUGUGCAGAUGCCUAAUUUAGAUCUUAAGGAAAAAGUGGAACCUGACUUUCUUCUCACUGAUAUCCAAACUUCCCCAGAUGCUGGCGCCAGGAUGAAUCAUUGGCCGAAGAGAACAAGACCCAUAAAAUCUCAGGGAUGCCUCUCUACACGUGGGGCCUGAAGUGGCACUAUGUCACGUACCACUCUCCUUCAUGCCCCCUUAGAGCCCAGGCUGAAGAGAAACGCACAGUCUUGCAAAAGUUGCAGCACAGACAUGUAGAAAAACGUAGGAUUGUCAAGUCAGAGUUGCCAGAGCCGGAAGGAUGGAAUGUGAAUUGACGAAGCUCUGACACAGUUACGCUUCCAAGUAACAGCAUCUUUGGAUGCCUCUAUGAAGAACAAUCAUAUUAUCUCAAGUCCUAGUUUUGCUGUAUGAAGACUGCAGCCCGAACCAGAAGAACCAGGAACCAACUCUGGAACACUUAAGUGCUGCACUGCUGGGAGGGGAGCAAGACCAACCCUUGGAAGAUGGAGCCAUGGGUAGCCAGCAUCUGUGGGUACUGGGGAACUGGCCGAGCCCUCCUGGCCCUGGAGUGGCAGGCAAGACUGGGUAUGGGGAGGCUGGCAAGCUGGCUCUGGAGAGGAUGGUGAUAAGGCUGUGGGCACAGUAGGUAUAGGCAGAGCCAGCCUGGCUAUGGAAGGCCUACGAGCUGGAGGCACCAGCCCAAUCAACGUGGUCCUGGAGCCGCCAGCUGCCAGAGGAUGGCUGUGGGCACUGACUGAGCCUGCCUGGCACUAAUGAUUGGUAGGCCAGCUGGGGACUCAGGAGGUACUACCAGAGCCAGCCAGACUAGCCCUGGAAUAGUGGGUGUGGUGGCAGGGCAAGCUGGCUAAAUGAGCUGGGGAGCCUGGGCUAUGGAGCCUGGUCCUAUGGACAAGGGUUAUUGCGCUGUGGGCAAGGGGGUCACUGAUUGAACUGGCCUGUCCCCGUUGUGGGAAAGGUGCUGUGGAAUGGAGUGCAAGGUGUGCAGUGGACACAGGACAAGUGGUCCUGGUGCUGGAGGAGCAGGCCGGUGAGUAGCCUGCUGGGGAUGCUGGGUCACUGGGCUAGCCUGCCUGAUCCUGGAGCAGCUGGGAGGAUG